GUGAUCUGUACGGGGUUCCUAGUGUGGAUGGGAACUAGGUUGAAUACGCCUCACCUCUGGAAAGCAGCCAAUCCCUUUCAGCCUGAUGCAUUCCCGGGUUUUCUGGCCAUCCAGAAUGUAAGCGUUCUUCUUCUUGGGCAAGUACCGCAAGUUGAGCCAAACUACAGAGAAACUUAAAAGAGCAGAUGGUAAGAAUCAGGGCAGAAGAAGGACUCCUGAAGCCACUGAAGGAAGGAAAUCAUUACAGGGUUCUACAGAAGUAGGUCAUGUGCUACAGCUGCUCAUAGUUUAAGAGGAAGAAACAUGGGACCUCAAACAUGGAACAUGACUCUUUCAAAAUGCUUGAGAGCAGCCCAAGAAAAACAUCCUCAGAGGCUUAUUUAAUAAACA
ensembl:lncRNA